UACAGAGGUCUCAAGCGUUGUUCGGAUUCAUUGGGCGUAAAGGGUGCGUAGGCGGCGCGGUAAGUCGGGUGUGAAAUCUCGGGGCUUAACUCCGAAACUGCAUUCGAUACUGCCGUGCUUGAGGACUGGAGAGGAGACUGGAAUUUACGGUGUAGCGGUGAAAUGCGUAGAUAUCAGGAGGAACACCAAUGGCGAAGGCAGCUCGCUGGAACGGUACUGACGCUGAGGCGCGAAAGCGUGGGGAGCAAACAGG
rnacentral:rRNA from 1 species